CAUGCAUUUGUGACGUACAGACCUUAGGUAAUACUGAGAAAGGCCACAGGUGCUUUGCAAGGGCAACUGUUUUGCAACAUGGUUGCACAAAGCCUCCCUUAGCUGAUUAGAACAGGUGGGCUGGCACCGAUUUAACUCUGGGAAAAUUGCCCUCCUGCAGCAAAAUCUCUUAGGUUACAUCCUUCUUUCUGCACAGUUCAAAACUGAUGUUGGCAUUGCUGCACACACAGAUCCUCAUAUCAGUCUAGAGAGUUUAAGUCAAGGGCCAACAUACUUUGUCAAAGUGCUUCCAGCCUAAAGUGGUUUCCAGCUGGAUUACCAGGACUGGACCAAGCUCUCUUCCUUGUUAAACAAUGGCCUGCAGAGGACAACAAGGCAGCUGAAGGCCACACUGAAUGCUACACUCUGGA